GCCUUGAACUACCCCAUCUUAUAUACACAACAUUCAGGUACAACCUCCUUUUCGGUAAAAAAUGAGGGGCGAUGAUGAUGACUCUGGCUGAAAUAAGCAUGUCUUGAGCAAUCAAGACUGCUGUGGCCUGUGGGUACUAAAUUAGAGCCCACUCUUACCUCUCUUGCAGUCUGUUCAACUCAUCAGUAAUGUUGGAGGUUCUGCGCCUCGGAUGGUCAUUUUGGCGAGUGAUAACCAGGGCAUUCGUUUACAUUGCGAUGGGUAUGUUACGCAGCAAGAGAUGUGAGUGUUGGGCUUGAAGAUCAAAGACAAAACUGAGCCCUCUUUUGCUAUGCUAUAGAUACACAAAUUUUCCUUAUCUAUUAAUAAUAGACAAAUUUGCCUUAUCUAUUAUACAAAUACAUUGUAUAAUAGACAUACAAU
rnacentral:lncRNA from 1 species